rnacentral:tRNA from 1 species
GUCGGUGUGGCUCAGUGGGUAGAGCAUUGGCCCACGGACUGAAGGGUCCCCGGGUUCGAUUCCCGGUCCGGGCA